rnacentral:rRNA from 1 species
UGGGGAAUAUUGCACAAUGGGCGCAAGCCUGAUGCAGCAACGCCGCGUGAACGAUGAAGGUCUUCGGAUCGUAAAGUUCUGUUGCAGGGGAAGAUAAUGACGGUACCCUGUGAGGAAGCCCCGGCUAACUACGUGCCAGCAGCCGCGGUAAUACGUAGGUGGCGAGCGUUAUCCGGAUUUACUGGGUGUAAAGGGCGUGCAGGCGGGCUGAUAAGUCAGAUGUGAAAUCCCCGAGCUUAACUCGGGAACUGCAUCUGAUACUGUUGGUCUUGAGUGCUGGAGAGGAUAGUGGAAUUCCUAGUGUAGCGGUGAAAUGCGUAGAGAUUAGGAGGAACACCGGUGGCGAAAGCGGCUUUUUGGCCUGCAACUGACACUGAGGCGCGAAAGCGUGGGGAGCAAACAGG